UACGUAGGAUCCAAGCGUUGUCCGGAUUUACUGGGUGUAAAGGGUGCGCAGGCGGACCAAUAAGUCAGGAGUGAAAUCUCGGCGCUCAACGCCGAAACGUCUUUUGAUACUGUUGGUCUUGAAUAAGCGAGAGAUUCGUGGAAUUCCGAGUGUAGCAGUGAAAUGUGUAGAUAUUCGGAAGAACACCAGUGGCGAAGGCAGCGAAUUGGCGCUUUAUUGACGCUCAGGCACGAAAGCAUGGGGAUCAAACAGG
rnacentral:rRNA from 1 species